AGAUAUUCUGAGUAAAUGUGGAAUCAUAGGAUUUUACAGUCCCGGCUGACGAUUGAUGUUUGGCAAAGCAGUUUUUUCUUUUACCGUUAAGCAAGUCAAUAAGGGGGAAUUGGUCUAUUACAGUGUUUCCCAAUGUUCUUGGCUGUGACUCAGUUGUUCCUCAUGUGGUUUGAGUGAUUGAAACAGGUACAUAAUGUAUCUGCGUACAAUACUCUAAGUGAGGUCACUGGCUCCACACUAUAUUGAAAAGAAGAAAAACUACCACAACAAGUGGACAUAGUCUUAAAUAAGAGGGGCAAAGGUUUAAAAAUAUCAACUGAACUGGGCAAACAGAGGGUAGUGGAUGCAUAGAAUAGCCUUCCAGCUGAAGUGGUAGAGAUUAACACAGUGAAGGAGUUUAAACAUGUGGGUGAUAGGCAUAAGGCUAUCCCAGAUAUAAGAUAUGGCCAGGGACUAAUUAAAGAAC